GACGGGCAAAUGAGGAGUGCUUUGAUUUAAUGGGUAAUUUGCGUCUGAAGCAUUGAUUAUGAAGUUACCUAUCAUAUCACCUUGGAGAUCUGAUGCCCAAG
rfam:Musa acuminata subsp. malaccensis Doubled-haploid Pahang (DH-Pahang) genomic chromosome, chr10